ensembl:lncRNA
GUAGCUCCCAGGGAGCGACAGAUGCAGAUGAGCAAACGUUUAGCAUCUGGUGAUGCCACGUGCGGUAGAGACUAUUCUCUGCUGGGAUCUCGUGGACUCUGCAAGUUGGAGAUAAAUUGGCACAGCCGUGUGGGGAGACAGCGGGGCGGAUUCUGUGGAGGUGAAUGUUUAUGUCCCUCAUACCCGAGCAAUUGCCUUCUGGCACAUCACCCAGAAAAACGUCUUGCAUGUGAAUAUCAGGAGACGUGGGUGUGAAUGUUACUGUGAACAGUUGCACUGUUCACAAGUCCAAAAGUCUUGGAACAGCCAAAAUGGUCUUCAGCAGAGAAUGGGUUAAGGAAGUGCUGUGGUCAUGCAAAGGAACAUUGCACACAGCGGUGAGCGAGCCACAGCACGGAGCAGUGUGGCCGCGUGCUGGCAGCGCUAAGCCAAGUAGACAAGGGGGUCCCAGAAGAUCACAUCGAGCCAAUGCUCUGAAUCACCAACGGGGAAGGUGUUGCGGAGGCUGGAGACUGUGGACCUGCUGUGUAGGAACUGGAAGGCGGCACUGCUGACUGUUGCUAUGCUUCUGCUGUGCGGACAAAGCAGUUUCCCUACAAUGCGUGUGGAGCGGGGAACGGUGCACCUUCCCUGCCGAGUUGGGGAAAGUGUUACUUGAAUGGCGUGUUCGUUUUAGAGCAGGCCGGGAACCCUUGCCCCAUCCUGGCCUCUUUGCCUCCCCCUGAGGUGCCGCGUGAGCGAGCUCAUCAAUGUUACUUAUUGGUGAGAGUUAAGCAAUAAACAGCCAGUUUAAAAAAAAUCUAGAUAAUUGAUUUUGAAGUUGAAUUUUCGUGGCCUACAGAGGAAGUCCGUAAUGUGAAUUACAGGCUUUCAAAUCAAGGGACGCUGACGGGCACAGGCUGGUAUCACAUAAAUAAAACCAAAUCACUUACAAUUGUGUUGUGUAUGCUUUCCACUGUUUUAACCCUAUUAGCCAAAUCAAGCUGCAGCUCUGACUAAAACGUGUGCUGUGAAAUCACAAGUUUAUCCUACAAGGAAGCUGGAAAACACUCAGUGCCCAUCUGGAGCCUGGCUUGUGGUCACCACGGGAGAGGCUCUGCUCUUCUCUCUCAACGCUGCAACAAAAAAGAGAAGAAAUGGGCAACCAGAGGCUCAGGAGACAUCAGGAAAAUUCAGCAAAGUAGCCCUCAGGACCCGUGGGCCCUGCCCUGCCAGCUGCACUUCCUCUGGCACAUGGGCAGUGAUGGUGAUGGCGCUGCGUCUCUGUCUGCUGUGAACUUGUUCCAUCCCAGGGAUGGGGAAGGUCACUCACUCCAAGGCCAGUGUCUUGAGAUACCACCUCCCCAUAAGAAGCUUUUGAAAUACUCAGAGGCUGUUGAUGAUCAACCCUGGUUUUUGUGGCACGAGAAAGAAGUGAGCAGAACCAGGUUUAGUUUUAGGGGUUUUGCAAUGUUUUGGGCUUAGGUAAAACACUGCUAUGGAUCAAGAUUUUAGGGCCGGGUGUGGUGGCUCAUGCCUACAAUCCCAGCACUCCAAGAGGCUGAGGCAGGCGGAUCACGUGAGCCCCAGAGUUUGAGAUCAGCCUGGGCAACAUAGUGAGAUCCCUGUCUCUACAAAAAAAUAAAUAAGUAAAUUAUCUGGGUGUGGUGAUGGGCUCCUGUGGUCCCAGCUACUUUGGAGGCCAAGGCAGGAGGAUCUCUUAAGCCCAGAAGUUUGAGACUAGCCUGGACAACAUGGCGAGGCCCGUUUCUAUGACAAAUAAAUAAAUAAAUAAGCCGGGCAUGGUGGUGUGCACCUGUGGUCAUAGCACAUGGGAGGCUGAGGUGGAAGGAUUGCUCGAGCCCCGGAGGUUGGGGCUGCCAUAAGCUAUGAUUGUACCACCACACCCAGCCUGAGCAAUAGAGCGAGACUCUGUCUCAAAAAAGAAAAAAUUAAAAAAUGUUUUCGCAAACCCGACUUUCCCGGGGCUGUGGGUGAG